UCCUGUAAGGUCCCAGUGGAGCAACUGAUUCUGUGUAACUCAAUUUUGCUUCUGGUGUUUGUGCUCCGAAACUUUUUUUGUCCUAACAAAACACUGGGAAAAAAUGGUUUCUGCCAGAUGUAGGAGGAAAACUGUCCACAGCUGUGCUGCUUUAACCCUCUAUGUUUCACUGUACAGCUUUCAAGGCCCUUGACAAAAGCCAUGCUUCUUACCAGACUGCUUCCUCACAGAAUUCAGUAUCCUGCACGUAUCUCCCAUCCCAGCGGAUAAAUUUCUGAGCACACGUGUGUGUUUUGUUCUGUGUCCAGAAAAAACCUGGACCUGCUCUGCUGGAGUGCAAACACCCAUUAGCAGCUGUAACUCAAGACCUAGUCUGGAUUUUACCCUCCCAGAUCUCAAUGGAUUGCUGAUUAAACAAAUGGAACAGUAUACUGCAGAAAAAAUAGAAAUACAUGGAGAAAGAGAAGAUUGCAGAAGCAACUCGUCGCAGAACGACAGUUUUCACCAUCUGUUUAUCAAUUUUCAAACAUGAAACAGAACACAUAUGAAAGAGCAGAGAGGUUCUUUGUGGGAGGUGCUACUGAACUUACUCAACAGCAGCCUUUCAAAUACAGUCUUCUUACUUUUCAUCCUGAGCUUUAGAAAGUAAACACUCGGGUUUACAGAUCUACAGCCAGCGUUCUAGGAGUGUAUGAUACUGCAGUAUUUCUUCUGCUUAUCAGCUCAGCCUGGAAGAAUAGUUGGAUUUUUUAAAUUACUGUCUCCACUGCACUCAGCUUCUGUAUACUGAUGUAUUUUUGCCUUUGUUUCUAAGAAUCAUCCAGUCUCUUAAAUGCUUUUACAAAUUAAGCUCGAAUGAAAGCUUUCACCUUUAUCUGAAGUGCAACUUAUUAUUUCUGAUGAUCCUUCCUCCUUUUGAAAUGCCACUCAAUGUAUCUUUACUGGAACCAUUAAAUUUAACUCAACUAAAUAAAUAAAUAAGAAGACUAUUUCUGGCA
rnacentral:lncRNA from 1 species